rnacentral:lncRNA from 1 species
UCAAGAUAUAUUUUUUACUGGUUUUGUCACUCAUUUUCCGAUUGGGAUCGAAGGCGCUAAGACAACCGGGUGCGAGUGCUGCUGGCGGGGCUGUGGGUGAGCUUUGAGCAGAUCUCCCCCCUUAUAGAGUUGGAGGAGAAACGACAAUUGAAAGAUUGAUGGCUGCAAGCGGACCAGCGUAGCGGUACAGUAUGUGUUUCCCAGGCCAUGCGAUACCGAUGCCAUCCCGGCCCACAAAUAUAGAGUGUAAUUCCCGGUAUCACUCUCACCGCUAGUCCCUGCCCCACACUCCCUUGUCUAGACCGCUUUACCGUUUGCUCUCGACGACUUUCUUGGCUUCAAAGUGGUUAAAUGGGUUGGGCAAUGGGUAUGGCAACUGGCAUGCUCCAGAGUUCUAUGGGCACAGAACCAGACAGCGAAAAUCAGGUGUAAAUGGCAGGUAAAUAGUCAAAAUAGGUGCGUCAAAAUACUCCGUUAACUUGUUUGAAUUUCAUUAUUCUUGUAACAGGUACAUUUGCUGUAGAAAGAGGAAAGGAUUCUUAAUGGCUGCAAGCAGGAGCACAACUUAUUGAUGAAAAGAGAGAACUAAAAGAACGAGAGACAAACCAAUUAACAGCAAAAACAUUCUUUCAUAAUGCCAAUGGCAAUCAGCUGUUUAUACCACUCGCACAAUAAGAACACAUUUCUCGAAUGUUUGCAAUGUUAAGUACUCGUAGGUGUUUACAAUAUUACAAAGUGGCGCAUAAUAAAUUGAAUAAAUACAUCCGCUAGGCUGUGGCAACAGCGCGUGGUACAUACAGUA